rnacentral:rRNA from 1 species
ACGAACGCUGGCGGCGUGCCUAACACAUGCAAGUCGAGCGGAGACAGUGAGUAGCUUGCUACGAACUGUUUUAGCGGCGGACGGGUGAGUAACGCGUGAGCAACCUUUCCCAGACAGGGGAAUAACACACCGAAAGGUGUACUAAUACCGCAUAAGACCACGGGAUCACAUGGUUCUGAGGUAAAAGAUUUAUCGGUUUGGGGUGGGCUCGCGUCCGAUUAGGUAGUUGGUGAGGUAACGGCCCACCAAGCCGACGAUCGGUAGCCGACCUGAGAGGGUGAUCGGCCACAUUGGGACUGAGACACGGCCCAAACUCCUACGGGAGGCAGCAGUGGGGAAUAUUGGGCAAUGGAGGAAACUCUGACCCAGCAACGCCGCGUGGAGGAAGAAGGUUUUCGGAUCGUAAACUCCUGUCCUUGGAGACGAGUAGAAGACGGUAUCCAAGGAGGAAGCCCCGGCUAACUACGUGCCAGCAGCCGCGGUAAUACGUAGGGGGCAAGCGUUGUCCGGAAUAAUUGGGCGUAAAGGGCGCGUAGGCGGCUCGGUAAGUCUGGAGUGAAAGUCCUGCUUUUAAGGUGGGAAUUGCUUUGGAUACUGUCGGGCUUGAGUGCAGGAGAGGUUAGUGGAAUUCCCAGUGUAGCGGUGAAAUGCGUAGAGAUUGGGAGGAACACCAGUGGCGAAGGCGACUAACUGGACUGUAACUGACGCUGAGGCGCGAAAGUGUGGGGAGCAAACAGGAUUAGAUACCCUGGUAGUCCACACUGUAAACGAUGAAUGCUAGGUGUAGGGGGUAUCGACCCCUUCUGUGCCGCAGUCAACACAAUAAGCAUUCCGCCUGGGGAGUACGGCCGCAAGGUUGAAACUCAAAGGAAUUGACGGGGGCCCGCACAAGCAGCGGAGCAUGUGGUUUAAUUCGACGCAACGCGAAGAACCUUACCAGGUCUUGACAUCCACUUAAACUUACAGAGAUGUAAGGUGUGCUUGCACAAAGUGAGACAGGUGGUGCAUGGUUGUCGUCAGCUCGUGUCGUGAGAUGUUGGGUUAAGUCCCGCAACGAGCGCAACCCUUGUGAUAUGUUACUAACAUUGAGUUGAGGACUCAUAUCAGACUGCCGGUGAUAAACCGGAGGAAGGUGGGGAUGACGUCAAAUCAUCAUGCCCUUUAUGUCUUGGGCUACACACGUACUACAAUGGCGUUAAACAAAGAGAAGCAAGACCGCGAGGUGGAGCAAAACUCAGAAACAACGUCCCAGUUCGGACUGCAGGCUGCAACUCGCCUGCACGAAGUCGGAAUUGCUAGUAAUCGUGGAUCAGCAUGCCACGGUGAAUACGUUCCCGGGCCUUGUACACACCGCCCGUCACACCAUGAGAGUUGGGGAUACCCGAAGCCUGUGAGCCAACAGUUAAAUGAGGCAGCAGUCGAAGGUAGAAUCAAUGAUUGGGGUG